GUGUGUGUGUGUGUGUGUGUGUGUGUGUGUGAGAGAGAGAGAGAGAGAGAGAGAGAGAGAGAGAUGCUAGGGAUUACAUCAUCUAAGGUCACAGAGGUGGAAUGCUAAUUCCUAAUUCUAUCACUGUACUAUAUGCUCACCUUGGGUGUGGGGGAAGGGAGGGAGUUCUUUUUAGAGUGAUGUAAGACUAAAAUAAGAUGUGGUUGUAGGUACAGGACUCAAAUAUACAAAUGUUGAAAUUCACACUCUGGGAAAGCAAAUUGUAUGACCUGUAAAUCAAAUCACAUCUCAGUAAAAUUGGUCGGGGCUAAGGAAGUGCACCUUAGCCUUAUCUGCUGGGCACAUGUCACCACAUCUUUGAGCUUCUGUUUCUCAAUUAGUGGAAGAGGGAGAAAACGGUGGUGUCUCAUUGUAUCUCUAUGAGAACUAAAUGAGAUAAUAUACAACACUACCCCAUUUUGUUCAGGAGAAAACCCAGGACCAAAGAAAGAAAAUGACUUAAUACAGAUAGCACAGCUGGUGGUCUCAGGAAGCCGUGAGCCUCUUGGAAGUGCCUUGCCAUGUAGCACUAUCCAGUCUGGAAUAAUGUCUUCCAGCCUUCCCACCUCCCACCACUCGGUGAUGUCUUCCGCUUCAGAUCGACUCUGGGACCCAGUCUCCCUGCUGCCAAUGCUCAGAGCAUAGGGGACAACCUCUGGACCCUCCAGAGCACAGGGUGCCUUCUUCCUCAGCACCCUAUACCCCCCUCUGGGACCACAACUCUGUCUUGCCUUUGCUUGUAAUAAAGAAAAUGUCUCAGCUACCCUUCCAUGGUUGCUUGGCAACCCCAAGGGGGAAUGAGGGGUGGGCUCUGGAGCCAAUCUGGAGACAAAGAGUAGGAUUUGGGUGACAUGGAGCCUGUUCUUAGUGCUAACCUGGCCUGGCUGGGGCAGUGGGUGGGUGGGGGCAGGGACUUUCUCCCACCCCAGUGUCUCACACCAAUAAAUAUGGAUUAGGGAAAUGGGCAGAAUUUUUCUCACAGGCCUGAAAGGGCACGCCUGACCUUUCUACCCCCUUUAUGUACCAAUGUGACAGUCAGAAGAGAGCAAAGAGCAGGACCCCUUGAGAUACCUCCCCCAUGGCCUUCUGACUGGGGGAAACUUUCACCCUCUUUCCCCUGGCCCCAGACCAGGUCUCAACCCCUCCUGGACCCCUGGCCCAGGGAUGAGGAGGAUGCUCAUUUUCAAGUGAGUAUCCCAGCUUCAGGGUCUUAGCACAAAGCAAAGCAGUGAGGUUCUGGACCAGCCUCCCUGCUCCUGACCCAGCCCUCUGCCCAGUGGCUCCUCAUUCUGCCUCCCUAUGCCCAGGAACUCCUCAGAGCGUCUAUUUCCUGUCAUGUCUGCGUGUUCCUCUUCUUUUUCAACCUCGUUCCCAUAUUUUCCUUCACCCUCCUCUAUCUGGUCUUUUUUUCCUCUCUUCUCUUUUCAGUGCCCCAUAAAACCGGGAGGCCCUGGUGGCUACUGUGUCGUGUUCAUGCAACAAGGAUAGAAGGGAGGCUGGUCGGUGAUCUCGCCCACUGGUGCACUGGGUCCUUGGCUGCUGGCCUGGGGUGGGAUGGGCCACUCUGAAUGGAACUAGUGUGGAGACAGGAAAAGCAAACACCUCCAUAUGGGCCUCCGUGGCCUUGGGGUGGAGGUGGGGCAGGGGUCUGGGUCAGAUCAACCUCUCUAUUUGCCCCUGCUGGCUCUUCGACCCCUCGCUUCUCAGACCCUCAACCCACAAUGUCCAGAGGACAGUGAGCUGAAUGGGAUCAAGCCCUCUGGGAGACACCUUUGCUUAUAAUCUUUUCCUGCUCUUCCCAACCCCCAGGCAGUGCCCUUCCUGCCUGGAGAUGCCAGGAAAGUCUGGGCCUGGGAUGGGCUGCCUGGCCAACCCUCCAAAAUAAGAGCUGAGCGGGCAGUCCUCUUGUACCUAAGCACCCAGCGGUGCCAUCUACCUCCGGGCUGAGGGGGACCCCAAGAUGCUCUGCCUGAUUGAAUCUCACUGGGUUGCGCAGGCUGAUCUCCGACUCUUACAGCUCAGUGCCUUGUGUAGCCUCAGCGUCUUCAGUAGAUGGAGCUCCUCCAGGUGUCCCUCCCCAACCUUGCCAUCGCCAUAAUGAAACCCUCCUGCCACAAGGAAAGCCUCCUGUUUUCAACGGUGUUGUUCAUUUGGCAUCUUUAUUACAGAUGGGGAAACUGAGGCCUGGAGUGGGGAAGGACCUAUUCAGGGUUACUAAACGUUUUCUGGGAGAGUAAGAAGUGAUUCUCAAAACUGCUUCAUUCCUAGUUAUACUGUCUCUCCUCCAUCCCUCUGCCUCAAGUCCUCCCCAGGUGUGUCCAUGCCUGGCACAGGAGGGCCUGGGCAAACCUGGGAGAGUUGCGAACAGAGCCUGGCAGUGGCUCAGGCUCUGAGGCCAGCUCGCUCUCAGCCUCAGCCCUUUGUCUGAGGCUUUGUGAUGGUAAGUGCUGCUCCUAAAUCAGGUCUGUGACACUGUUAUUGUUGCCCAGGGCGCACAGAGUCUAAACUUUUCCCCUGAGGUCAAGAAUGUGGCCAGUCCCCAAGCAGUCCAGAGCAAGGCCUGGGUGGCUGGGGGUGGGGCUGGGGCCUCACCCCCAGCUAGGGCGAGAUAUGUGGAGGGGAGGGGGUCAGGAGGAACAAAACGCUUUGAAAUGCCUCCUCUCCAUCACUGCCAACAUUGUCCGCUGCCCGCGGGGGGCCUGGCACCGCCUCGCCGGGGCUCCGGCCCCCAGCCCUGGCCAGGCCUGGCCCAGCAUCGGAAAAUGGACAGAAGGUUAUUGUCCCUUCCCGCAGCCCUUUGUCUGCCCCAGUUCCAGAUGUCUAGGCUGGGACCAGGGAACUGACCCAUGGUGGGCAGGGAGGAGGGGACAAAGAGGGAGAACACGGGUCACUGCAUCCUGAGGAGUCGUUCCCAGACCCUGAUAUCCCACCCAGCCACAGCCAAGUCACCUUCUGGGCCAUUUUAGCCUUGGGUUUGUCCCUAUUCCUUGGCCCUCUCCCCAGACCAGGUUAGAGCAGGAGGCCUUGGGAGACCCAGAGGCAGGCUGAACCCCUCUACCCAGGUAACUACCUUGACCUUGAGUCUGCUUUCCUGUGUAGGAGACUCCUGAGCCACUAAGGACAGAGCUCUACCUACAAGCUCCACUCUGAACCUAGAGGCACCCAUGGUAAAAGGGUGUCUCUGCCCCUUACUGAUUGUGGUCCGUAGUCUUACUGACAAGAGAGGACAUUUCCCAGCAAUUCUCAGUUGGGUUGUGGGCAGACCAUUACACCUGCAUGGUGAAACCAGGGUCAGUUAUUCUCGUCUCCGUUUUCCAGCUGUGGAGACAAAAAGGCUGAGAGGGAGCCGCUAACCCCAAGCCAGGCAGCCAGGAGCAGCCAGGAGCAGCCAGGAGGCUGGGAUCCUCGCCCAGGCCGACCACAGCCACCAGGAGGAGGAAUCGCUAGUAAAUACUUGGAAGGUGCCUUGGCCUAGCUCUUCAUCUGGGACUAGUGGUGUUAACUCUCUUCGUUGGUUUUCCCAUUUCCCAGAUGGGGCUCCCCAGCCCAGACCAGGAAAGAGGGCUCAGGGGAACUUAAGUAGCUCAGAGGGCCGGUCUGCAGCCACCAGCGCUGAGCAGCGUCCAACCAGCUCUUGGUGACUGAGGCACUUCACAGCUUGGGUUUCCUACUUUUCUCUUCGGUAAAUACUCCCGCGUGUCACAAAGUUGUCAAAAACCAUCAAAUGAGUUGUGAAGGCAUUUAAUUAAACUCCUGGUGGCUUUAAGGCUAACAGGAGGAUAGCUAUUGUUAUAAUUACUCUCAGUUGGUAACAUUUAUCCCUUUGAACCUCACUUGGGUCGUCUGGGGACAAAGCUCUGUGGAGAGGGGCAUGGUAGUUGUUGAGGGAGUUGACGACAGUUAUACUUAGUCUUCUCGGGGUCUCUAGAAGUUUCUGCUAAGUCUGGAGAAUGCAGAAAGCUGGGAGGCAGAUGCAGCUGCCCGGACCCGAGGAGUUAACCACUCCCAGGCCCUGGCCCAGUAGGGCUGCCACGCUGCAACCUAGAAACGAUUUUAGCAGAGGAGCCAGGGCUACUUUCUGAUGGGCAAAACAGCUGGCUUCUUAGGGAAAACAUCUGGCCUAGUCCCAGCAUCCUAAGAGCAGAGACAGAACCUCAGAGGACAGAAUCACAUCUGGGGGUCCUCAAAGAAGAAGGCAUAAUCAAGAGGGAGAGGGUGGUUCUUCGGAGCAUGUGGGUGUCGGGUGGAUACCCCGGAGACAAGGGGUGUGGACCAAUUUCUACUGCAGAAGCCAGAGUAUGCUAAGUUUAAACAGACUGGGCAAGAGUAUCUCCAGUUGGGAUCUGGGGUCUUAAUCUUCCCUCAAGCAGGACAAAUGAAGGACAGGGGAGCCUAAAGUGGACAAGUCCCCACUCUACCCUGUCUUCUUGGAACUGGGCUUGAAACCAGAGGUGAGAAUGGUGCCCAGGCGGCUCUCCUGGUCAAUUGAACUGCACCCAGAACCAAGAACUGGGUGAAGGCUCAUCCUCUGGCCAGGAUCGUGGGCUUCUGUAACCACAGAGCAGGACAGGGUCGCAGAAAGCCUCCAACCCAAGAGACGGGAAGCUGACAGCUGGGUUUCUCUAUGUAGCAAUUCUGGCUGUCCUGGAA